CCACCAAAAGAGUUAAGCACAGGGACACAUAUGAAGUCUCAGAGCCGGGUGUUGGUUCCGGUAGAGAUCGAGGGAAAUUAGUACCGAAGUCUGAGAUGGAAGAUGGCGAGAAAAGCUGUGUGUAUUUCUGAGGUGCCCGUACCGCAAACCGACACAGGUAGGUAGGAAGAAGAUUCUAAGGCCAACGGGAGAAGGGUUGUUAAGGAACUCGGCAAAUUGACCCCGUAACUUCGGGAGAAGGGGUGCUCCAGAGAUGGAGCCGCAGAGAAUCGGCCCAAGCAACUGUUUACCAAAAACACAGGUUUGUGCUAAAUCGAAAGAUGACGUAUACGAGCUGACGCCUGCCCGGUGCUGGAAGGUUAAGAGGAGAUGUGCAAGCAUUGAAUCGAAGCCCCAGUGAACGGCGGCCGUAACGAUAACGGUCCUAAGGUAGCGAAAUUCCUUGUCAGGUAAGUUCUGACCCGCAUGAAAGGCGUAAUGAUUUGGGCACUGUCUCAACAGCCCGCCCGGCGAAAUUGUAGUACCGGUGAAGAUGCCGGUUACCCGCGACAAGACGGAAAGACCCCAUGGAGCUUUACUGUAGCCUAAUAUUGGGUUUCGAUGUUGCAUGCACAGGAUAGAUGGGACUCUGGGAAACCAAGGCUUUGGCUUUGGCGGAGAGGCCGUUGGGAUACCAUCCUUGCGAUAUUGGAAUUCUAACCUGCGGCUCUGAAUCGAGUCGGGGGACAUUGUUAGGUGGGCAGUUUGACUGGGGCGGUCGCCUCCUAAAGAGUAACGGAGGCGUUCAAAGGUUCGCUCAGCUUGAACGGAAAUCAAGCAAAAGAGUGCAAACGCAGAAGCGAGCCUAACUGCGAGACUGACGGGUCGAGCAGUAACGAAAGUUGGAGUUAGUGAUCCGGUGGUAUGUGAGUGGAAAUGCCAUCGCUCAACGGAUAAAAGUUACCCUGGGGAUAACAGGCUGAUCUCCCCCAAGAGUCCACAUCGACGGGGAGGCUUGGCACCUCGAUGUCGGCUCAUCGCAUCCUGGGGCUGUAUUCGGUCCCAAGGGUUUGGCUGUUCGCCAAUUAAAGCGGUACGCGAGCUGGGUUCAGAACGUCGUGAGACAGUUCGGUCCCUAUCUGUCGUGGGCGCAGGAUAUUUGAUGGGAGCUGUCCCUAGUACGAGAGGACCGGGACGGACGUACCUCUGGCGCACCAGUUGUUCCGCCAGGAGCAUAGCUGGGCAACUACGUACGGAUCGGAUAAACGCUGAAAGCAUCUAAGCGUGAAGCCGACCCAAAGAUAAGAUAUCCCACUGAUUCAAUCAGGUAAGAUCCCUUGUAGACUACGAGGUUGAUAGGCACGAUGUGUAAGUGGAGCGAUCCAUUCAGCAAGUGUGUACUAAUAGAUCGAGGGCUUGACCAA
rnacentral:rRNA from 1 species